GGGCCUGUAGUUUAAUGGAUAGAAUGCUGGGCUUCGGACCCAGUGAUCAGGGUUCGAAUCCCUGCAGGUCCG
rnacentral:tRNA from 1 species